rnacentral:rRNA from 1 species
CCCAGACUCCUACGGGAGGCAGCAGUGGGGAAUAUUGGACAAUGGGGGGAACCCUGAUCCAGCGACGCCGCGUGAGUGAAGAAGUAUUUCGGUAUGUAAAGCUCUAUCAGCAGGGAAGAAAGAAAUGACGGUACCUGACUAAGAAGCACCGGCUAAAUACGUGCCAGCAGCCGCGGUAAUACGUAUGGUGCAAGCGUUAUCCGGAAUGACUGGGUGUAAAGGGAGCGUAGACGGUUGUAUAAGUCUGAUGUGAAAGCCCACGGCUCAACUGUGGGAGUGCAUUUGAAACUGUCAGGCUGGAGUGCAGGAGAGGUAAGUGGAAUUCCUAGUGUGGCGGUGAAAUGCGUAGAUAUUAGGAG